ensembl:ncRNA lncRNA:CR43855 long non-coding RNA:CR43855
GAAUGUUAUAAAUGUUUAGCAGUGCAUUUUUGCUGGGUGGCCUUGCAUCAGUUGCUGACCCAUGGUCAGAGGUUGCGGUUUAUUCGAGUGCAAAGCCAAAAACUUGUUCUCUGCCAUCAGUUGGACAGUGGCCACUGGACACGGAGUUCUCUGGUUCCUGACGCUUCUCCGGCUGUGAGUCACCUAACAACUGCACAAUGAUGUUGUUUUCCCCGCUCGUGACGCCCAGCAUGUCAGGCUAAUAGUUUUCAUUCGGGCCCAUGCACUGCACAUUGACCACAGGACCAGAAACGGACAGAGCAGGCCACUUCACUCGGCACAUUUGUCAUUCCCAUUUUCUGUGCCAUAUUUCACAAAAUAAUUUUUGACUACACAAGAGCAAUGCAACCGACUAACACCCAAUACUCGCUUUUCGGAGGAGAUAAAAAAUGUUAAACAGGAAAGAACACGGUCCUACUAUACAAAAAACAUUUCUUAAACUGCAUUUGGAAUCCCAAACUAAUAAAUGUCUUUGAUUUAAAUACACAACGUAAAACGACAUAAAAAUGUUAUAACAACAAGUUCACAUGAUUUAUUCGUUUUGAAACAAUUAAUAAAUUUUGCCCUGUUUCUGCGCUUUAUAGACCUGACUU